rnacentral:rRNA from 1 species
GACGAACGCUGGCGGCAGGCCUAACACAUGCAAGUCGAGCGGUUGACGGGAGCUUGCUCCCUGAUUCAGCGGCGGACGGGUGAGUAAUGCCUAGGAAUCUGCCUAUUAGUGGGGGACAACGUUUCGAAAGGAACGCUAAUACCGCAUACGUCCUACGGGAGAAAACAGGGGACCUUCGGGCCUUGCGCUAAUAGAUGAGCCUAGGUCGGAUUAGCUUGUUGGUGAGGUAAUGGCUCACCAAGGCGACGAUCCGUAACUGGUCUGAGAGGAUGAUCAGUCACACUGGAACUGAGACACGGUCCAGACUCCUACGGGAGGCAGCAGUGGGGAAUAUUGGACAAUGGGCGAAAGCCUGAUCCAGCCAUGCCGCGUGUGUGAAGAAGGUCUUCGGAUUGUAAAGCACUUUAAGUUGGGAGGAAGGGUUGUAGAUUAAUACUCUGCAAUUUUGACGUUACCGACAGAAUAAGCACCGGCUAACUCUGUGCCAGCCGCCGCGGUAA